ensembl:processed_transcript 1110018N20Rik RIKEN cDNA 1110018N20 gene
GGGGAAACCAGCGGAAUCUUCUGGCCUUUCGGAGCGUGCCCUCCUCCCGCCACGCACCGGAGAAAGCUUCAGCCAAUCAUGAGUACUACUGGGGAGUCAUGGGGGCAGGGGAGGCCAUGCUGAGAGCAGUAACCCAGGAGCUCAGCAGGGCCUCUCAGAAGUGAGGCCAGACUCCACCACCACAGAGGACCUACCAGAAUGUGGGUAGCAUCUGCUAGUGGGGGGGACCAGAUUAAACAGUGUGGAAGAAGGAAGACCACUUGCCCUUGUUGGCCUGGCCUGGCCUCUUGCUUGAAGCGUUGGAAGAUGAUGAUGACGAUGACGACGACAACGAUUCCCCCACUGAAAAUAGAAGCAGCAGCCAUUUCAGGUUUCCAUCCUGGACCAAGGACCUUCAAGUCUCCAGGAACUUGCAGAUUUGGGGUGCAGGAUUGUUGACUACUGAGGCACCUCCAGGACCAGUCAGCUCCCGGAUUCCCAGCCUCGGUGUUGAGACUAUUUCAGAGUAAGCUGAUGACAUGCAUACUCUAAUAUAUUUGGUAUAUAAGAUGUUUCAUAUUUAAUAUAGAAAAUGUGGAAUUCCAUCAAUUCUGUUCCUCCAGAAAAUCUCAGCUUACAGAGGACACGUGUGCACACGUGUGUGUGAUGUCCUGUGGAGGUCAGAGGUCAGCCAUGGGCUUGUUCCUUGGAUGGCAUCCAUCUAUCUAGUUAUUUUAUUUUAUUUUAUUUUAUUUUAUUUUAUUUUGAGCUAGCCUCUCUGAUUGACUCUCCAAGCAGGCUAGGCUGGCUGGCUAGUGAGCCCCAGAGAUCCACCUGCCUCUGCCGCCCCGCCCUGGGAAUAAAAACAUUCACUGCCCUGCCUGUUUUGUUGUUGUUUGGUUGUUUUGUUUUGUUUUGACGUGUAUUCUGGGGAUUGAACUCCGGUGCUUGUGCUUGUGAGGCAAGUGCUUUGCCGACAGCCCUGUCCCUAGGCCCACUUAUUCUGAAUUCCUUGUCCCUCCACAUCUCCCCAGAGCAUACACCCUACCUCAUAGGCAGCAGCUGUUAUCUACUGAGUGGAUAUUAUAUUCUUGGGUUUUUUUUUCCUAUGUGAUUUUGAAAAACAAUUCAUAGCUUUUUGCUGUUGUUGUU